rnacentral:lncRNA from 1 species
GAUGAUCAGAAAGUUCUAAACUCAACCACACAACUUCUAAAUAUGAACUACCAAGCCUUUUGGGAAUGUAUCAGAAAGUUUGGGGAGUUUUAAUGAUAUACUUGCAUUGCAAUUUCUAAUAGAAGAUGAUCAAUAUUAGUAUGCAUCUGUAUAUAAAUAUAACCACUUAAUCUCAAAGAUAGGAAUUAAUAUUGACAAUGGCAUAGAAGUGUAUUUGGGACAUUAUUACAACAGAUCUAAGUGUUAAGCAAAUUAAAGGACUAAGAUAGCAAAUAUGUGUAUGUAAGAAAUAAGCAAACUGGUUCAAGAUGUGUUUAAGGAGCAAAUAACAGAACAUGGAACACUUACAAAUGUGUAAUUUUGCUUCAUUAUUACACUAGAACACAAGCCAUAGCUAGUAAAAAAUGACCAAUAUGAGAAAUGAAAAAUAGAAGUUCUAGUUAAUGUAAGAUAUAUCGAACUGUCAAAUAUAUAAGGUAUAGUACAAAAGCAAGAAAAGGAAAGGGAUUGGAUUUGAUGCAGUGGAAAACAAACUUAAUUAGCACAGAUAUACAAGGAUAGAAAUUAACAACAGGGUUACAAGGAAAGAUGUGGCUUACUUUUGAGGCAUCAAGAACCAUCAGCACAAUGCCUGACGACUUUGAAACAGCAAUAACCUGUAAGGGAGAGCUAUGAUCAGAUUGCAACACAAAGGAUGAAAUUAAAAUUAAGGCAAAUUCUAGGGACGAAACUGAAAAAGGGGUCAAACUUCAAGGACUAACUUAGACUCUUGGGAUUGUAUAGAAAAAGGGGCAGAACUUCGGGGACUAAAGUGUUGUGAACUCAUAUGAUGCAGCUUCAGAAUUCGUCCCGGUUAAUAGGGUUAAGAGAGUUGACUUCCCCACACUGCCAAGGAAAGACACAAAGCAAGUUAUUUCUGGUUGUAAAUAAUUAAACAACAAAACUCACAAUACUUCAGAACAUGAUACUAUAACAUGUGUAUAAUGUCAUAAGAUAUUUAGUGGAGAAGAUUGACACAUACUCAAAUUUUACCACUUUUUCAAGUUUGAUGUGUAUUAACUUAAGAAAGGAUCAUUAAUAAG